rnacentral:lncRNA from 1 species
GCCCAACCACCAGCCCCGUCCCUCCUAUUGCAAAUGAAGUGUUCCUAGUCACCUUUGGAGAGGUUUCUAUCAGCAUUUUAGAUAGAAUUUCUCUUUAAAGCUCUAUGUCCUGGUUUUGUUAGUAAUGCAUGAAAAUGUCAAGGAUUCAUGGAAUUUUUAUCCUUGGUUACUUUUUGGAAUGUAAUUGUAUCCGUUACCUUUGAAUCCAUUGGCUCAGGUUCUCUAAGUAAAUCAUCCACUGCAAACUCCUUGAGGUAGGGACUGGUUUUUUUUUUUUCUCUCAUCAGUAACCUCAUCACUUAGCACAGAGCCUAGUAUACAGUAGGUAUACCCUGCUUAGUCUUUAGAAUUCUAGCAACCAGGAAUGCAUACACCCCCGCUUAAGGAUUAACUGUGAGAAGCAUGGCCUAUGACUGGCAUUUGCUAGCAAGUGACAAAUCAGGAACAACUGACUGACCCCCUGGGCUGUCCAAAGCCAAGAUUAAGGCACCAUUAGUACAUGUGAGACACAGGAAGUGACAUAAAGAAAGGCCUUUAUAUUUUGUGUCACUUCCUGUGAGAGGGGCUUUUGUGGACUUUGGUGGUGGAACGUGGCUUGAUGGAGCUCUAGCAUGGGACCUCCAUCUUCUUCCCUGAACAACCAUGUGAACAUGAACCCCUCCAUUCAGCUUUAAUUGCAUGGAGAUUUAAUUUGGCCUUGCUGCUUUGAAGUCCAUAUCAAGCACUGAAAAAAAGGGCUAUUGUGACUGUUGGCAAGGUCUCAGGAAAAAAAAAAAAAUCCGGUGGCUCCUGCGCUGACGAAUUUCUGAACUUCCACCUCCAGAAGACAGUUGACAGACUGACAUUUUGUAUUGCUGAAUCUGUUAAGCUAUCCAGAUUUAAAUACAGCAGUAAGCCGGAGGAGCAACAUGACAAUGGUGGUCCACACUGCUUAUAUGAUUUCAAAAAUAUUAUUCAGCUGAGGCUCUUUUAUGCAGGAGAAAGAACAAGGAAGGAGAGUUGCAUACUGGGAGCUAAGAUGAUGAGUAAAGGAUGCUCGACUCCCUCAAUCCCCCCCCACUCCCACACCCAAAAGGAAAUAAAUUACUUCAAAACAAAGGAAAACUGGAGGAUCCUGCCUUACUCAGAUGAGAAGACAUAUUUCAAAAAGCAAAGAACCCAGAUCUACAACCUAGAAUUACGCUCCCAACAAAACUGAGCAUAAUCUUGUAGAGGAAAAAAAUGACAUUCAAUUAGAUAGAGGAAUUUCAGAAAUUUCUGACAAAAACCAGAGCUAAAAAGAAAAUUUUAUGAGCAAUUUUGACAUUCAAUAAAAGUUAAAUUAAAACUUAAG